UACGGAGGGGACUAGCGUUGUUCGGAAUUACUGGGCGUAAAGCGCGCGUAGGCGGAUUUGCAAGUCGGGGGUGAAAGCCCGAGGCUCAACCUCGGAACUGCCCUCGAUACUGCAAAUCUCGAGUCCGAGAGAGGUGAGUGGAAUUCCUAGUGUAGAGGUGAAAUUCGUAGAUAUUAGGAAGAACACCAGUGGCGAAGGCGGCUCACUGGCUCGGUACUGACGCUGAGGCGCGAAAGCGUGGGUAGCAAACAGG
rnacentral:rRNA from 1 species